GAGAUCGGGAUAACACCUGGAAACAGAUGCUAAUACCGGAUAACAACAGAUGAUGCCUAUCAACUGUUUAAAAGAUGGUUCUGCUAUCACUCUUGGAUGGACCUGCGGUGCAUUAGCUAGUUGGUAGGGUAACGGCCUACCAAGGCGAUGAUGCAUAGCCGAGUUGAGAGACUGAUCGGCCACAUUGGGACUGAGACACGGCCCAAACUCCUACGGGAGGCAGCAGGA
rnacentral:rRNA from 1 species